AUUGAACGCUGGCGGCAGGCUUAACACAUGCAAGUCGAGCGGAGCGAGGGUGCUUGCACCUUAGCUUAGCGGCGGACGGGUGAGUAAUGCUUAGGAAUCUGCCUAUUAGUGGGGGACAACAUUCCGAAAGGGAUGCUAAUACCGCAUACGCCCUACGGGGGAAAGCAGGGGAUCUUCGGACCUGGCGCUAGUAGAUGAGCCUAAGUCGGAUUAGCUAGUUGGUGGGGUAAAGGCCUACCAAGGCGACGAUCUGUAGCGGGUCUGAGAGGAUGAUCCGCCACACUGGGACUGAGACACGGCCCAGACUCCUACGGGAGGCAGCAGUGGGGAAUAUUGGACAAUGGGCGGAAGCCUGAUCCAGCCAUGCCGCGUGUGUGAAGAAGGCCUUUUGGUUGUAAAGCACUUUAAGCGAGGAGGAGGCUACUAGUAUUAGUACUACUGGAUAGUGGACGUUACUCGCAGAAUAAGCACCGGCUAACUCUGUGCCAGCCGCCGCAGUAA
rnacentral:rRNA from 1 species